GAUGAACGCUGGCGGCGUGCCUAAUACAUGCAAGUCGAGCGAACGGACGAGAAGCUUGCUUCUCUGAUGUUAGCGGCGGACGGGUGAGUAACACGUGGAUAACCUACCUAUAAGACUGGGAUAACUUCGGGAAACCGGAGCUAAUACCGGAUAAUAUUUUGAACCGCAUGGUUCAAAAGUGAAAGACGGUCUUGCUGUCACUUAUAGAUGGAUCCGCGCUGCAUUAGCUAGUUGGUAAGGUAACGGCUUACCAAGGCAACGAUGCAUAGCCGACCUGAGAGGGUGAUCGGCCACACUGGAACUGAGACACGGUCCAGACUCCUACGGGAGGCAGCAGUAGGGAAUCUUCCGCAAUGGGCGAAAGCCUGACGGAGCAACGCCGCGUGAGUGAUGAAGGUCUUCGGAUCGUAAAACUCUGUUAUUAGGGAAGAACAUAUGUGUAAGUAACUGUGCACAUCUUGACGGUACCUAAUCAGAAAGCCACGGCUAACUACGUGCCAGCAGCCGCGGUAAUACGUAGGUGGCAAGCGUUAUCCGGAAUUAUUGGGCGUAAAGCGCGCGUAGGCGGUUUUUUAGUCUGAUGUGAAAGCCCACGGCUCAUCUGUGGAGGGUCAUUGGAAACUGGAAAACUUGAGUGCAGAAGAGGAAAGUGGAAUUCCAUGUGUAGCGGUGAAAUGCGCAGAGAUAUGGAGGAACACCAGUGGCGAAGGCGACUUUCUGGUCUGUAACUGACGCUGAUGUGCGAAAGCGUGGGGAUCAAACAGGAUUAGAUACCCUGGUAGUCCACGCCGUAAACGAUGAGUGCUAAGUGUUAGGGGGUUUCCGCCCCUUAGUGCUGCAGCUAACGCAUUAAGCACUCCGCCUGGGGAGUACGACCGCAAGGUUGAAACUCAAAGGAAUUGACGGGGACCCGCACAAGCGGUGGAGCAUGUGGUUUAAUUCGAAGCAACGCGAAGAACCUUACCAAAUCUUGACAUCCUUUGACAACUCUAGAGAUAGAGCCUUCCCCUUCGGGGGACAAAGUGACAGGUGGUGCAUGGUUGUCGUCAGCUCGUGUCGUGAGAUGUUGGGUUAAGUCCCGCAACGAGCGCAACCCUUAAGCUUAGUUGCCAUCAUUAAGUUGGGCACUCUAAGUUGACUGCCGGUGACAAACCGGAGGAAGGUGGGGAUGACGUCAAAUCAUCAUGCCCCUUAUGAUUUGGGCUACACACGUGCUACAAUGGACAAUACAAAGGGCAGCGAAACCGCGAGGUCAAGCAAAUCCCAUAAAGUUGUUCUCAGUUCGGAUUGUAGUCUGCAACUCGACUACAUGAAGCUGGAAUCGCUAGUAAUCGUAGAUCAGCAUGCUACGGUGAAUACGUUCCCGGGUCU
rnacentral:rRNA from 1 species